rnacentral:rRNA from 1 species
CGAUUCGACGUUGUCUGAGUCGGAUGGGUUUAUUUUUUUUGUGGUUUAAGGGUUUAAUUGGGCAAAUUAUUGUUUUGUUGUUGUAUUUUUUAUUGAUUUGAUACUUUUUAUUAUAGUUUAUUUGUACUGUAGGGGGUUUAUAUUUUUGUUUUUAUAAGUAGGGUUUAUUUGCUGUACCUUGUGUAUCAGGGUCUAUUAAUUCUUAUUAUUUAUUUUUGUUUCCCGAUUUCGGAAGAGUUAAGUAUUUGUUUUAGUUACUGUUUCAGUAGUAUUAAUAACAUUUAUUUGGUAGUGAUAUGUUAAUCGUUUCCGGGGGUAUCUGGUUUCUCAAGAAAUGAAUUUAAUUCACACUUUUUAUUUAGUUUUUAUUUUUAUUUGGUUGGCUUAAUAAUUUGUGAAGGUGUUGGGGGAUAAGCUCUAAUUCUUUUUUAUAAUUUGUUUAUUUAGAUUUAUCUUGUGGGCUUUAGGUUGGCUUUCUAUAUGAGUAUUUUAAAAUUCUGCUUUAUUUUUGUUUGUGAUUUUUAUUUUUGUUUAAUAUUUUUAUUGGGAUGUUUAGUUGAACUUUUCGGUUAUAGUAUUUUUGAUUGAAUUAGUAUAAUUUGUUUUAUUAGGUUUUAUUGUAUGUUAUGUUUUUCAGAGGAAUUAGGCAAAGUUUAGUGUUCGCCUGUUUAACAAAAACAUCGCUUCUUGUUGUAUUGAUUUGAAGUAUGACCUGCCCGCUGAUGGUUAUUGAAGGGCCGCGGUAUUUUGACCGUGCAAAGGUAGCAUAAUCAUUAGUUUUUUAAUUGUGGACUGGUAUGAAUGGUUUGACGAAAUGCUAGCUGUCUUUGGUUUGUGAUGUAUUGAAUUUGUUGUUUGGGUAAAAAUACCUAAAUUUUUUUAUGGGACGAGAAGACCCUAUAGAGUUUUAUAUAAUGUGUUUCUUUUUGGUUUGUUUUUGUUCUUGUUGGGAUAUAUUAUAUUUUGUUGGGGUGAUGGGAAGAUAAAUAUAACUCUUCUUUGUAUUUUUCACUUGUUUGUGUUUAUUGUGAUCCUUAAUGUUGAUUAUAAGAUCAAAUUACCUUAGGGAUAACAGCAUAAUCUUUUUUGAGAGUUCUUAUUGACAAAAGGGUUUGUGACCUCGAUGUUGGAUUAAGAUGAAUUUUUGGCGUAGAGGCUUUAUUGUAUUAUUAAUUAGGUCUGUUCGACCUUUAAAAUCUUACAUGAUCUGAGUUCAGACCGGCGUGAGCCAGGUUGGUUUCUAUCUAUAAUUUUUAUAUUAUUUCUUAGUACGAGAGGACCAGAAAUUUGGAAUAAUUUUUGUUAGGUUGAGUUUUAUUAAUUUACUAUUUUGGCAGAUAAGUGCGAUGGAUUUAGAAUCUAUUUA